rnacentral:lncRNA from 1 species
CAUAGCAUUUUUUUUCUCUUUCUUCUUUUCCAAGUUAAGCACUUGAUCAUCUUUUGGUUACCACCACCACCUUGAUCACUUCAUCUAGGUCCAUCACUUGGAAUUUACCAACCUCAUCUAAUUCACACACUUAGCAAAGAGGUUAGUACUUGGGUUUCAUCGAUUAUCCAAAACUAAACUUGGGCCUUCAAUCUAUCCCUUUUUGGUAAUGACAACUCAUUUACAAAGAUUUUUAAUAAAAUUUUCUAGGAUUCAUGUUGCUUGCCCAAGCAUUUUUACCAUGUGUAAUGUGUAAAGGAUAUGGGCAAGUUUCAUAAACCUAAAUUGGUAGUAAUUGCUCACCCUACAUAUGUGCUAAGAGUUUGGAUUUGAAAAAGCUUGCA